AUGGCGUGUGCGGCGACCGCUCCUUUUGCCGGCGGCGUGGCGAUGGAAGCUGACGGCGGGCUAGAAUUCCUACUGGAUCCAGUAGACCGGUUUCCACUAAGAGAGGAGUCAGCAGAUAAUUUGGAACAUCCAGAUCCGGUGCCGUUGGCGCUACUGCCACGCCGCGAGAUCCGGGGAAGGAAGAAUGCUUCGCCAACUAGGUCUCCACAAUCCACGGGGGAGGUGAAUCACGAAGCACCUGGCUGGACCAAGGUUGAGGCUGGGGAGUACACCGCCCUGGAACAAUCCAUCCAGAAAUAUGCAGAAGAACCUAGUAAGAGUGUGGUGAAACCUGAACUUGGUCUGAGUUUUGACUUGUCGGGUGAGGCGUAUGACUUUUACAAUUUGUAUUCGUGGGUGGUUGGCUUUGGGAUACGCUAUGGUAAGAGUAGAUUGAACGAUAAGAGGACGAAGAUAAUGCAGGAGAUCCUGUCCGGCUGUGCGGGGAAGCCGGAGGUGAAGAACAGCCGGUCAUGCAGGUGCAGUGACAAGACAAGUCUGUAUGACAUGCCAUUCGGUCUUUUUGUUCGGGUGAACCACCAUUUCCAGAGUGUUAUACUGGUGGGUGUUCGCAGAAUUUCUUAG
rnacentral:rRNA from 1 species